ACAUAUAAAUCAACUCAAACCUGAACUCAAUAAGCAAGUUCAACACUUUAACACUAUCUUUAGCUUGUAAAUAUAUUGUCGUGUAGUUUCGUGACCUCACUUAGUCUGUUGUCCAUGUCUAGUUUACAACAGAAGAUGCUGAUUCAAUUUUUUCCACAGAUUCAGAACUUCAGACUUUUGAAAACGAAUUUUGAAAACGUUCCUAAUCUGUGCCUGGUAUGACUUCGAAAGGUCGAGAGCCAGUAUUUUUCUUCUUCGACAUCGAAGCCGCGAACAGUUCAGUUGGUGCUGACAUAAUUCAAUUUGGGUUACGUGCGAUCCAAGUGUCCAUUUGAUGGCAGAGUUUAGUGCAUUUGUGAAAACAAAGCAGAAAUUAUCAUCAUUCAGUAAUUUAAUCUUUUUUAAUGUUGAAAAAAUUAUCUUUAUGUCGAAAUCUUUGCACAAUUCUUUGCAUACGCUUCAUCUUUCUUUGCCCUUUCCAGCCAUCAAACACCAGAUCCUUUUCCUCUUGUUUUCAAGAGGAUGAUGAAAUGGGUGACCAAUAGGACUUUGGCAGCAAGCAGGAAAAGUAGAAAAAAGGGAAAACAACAGAAAAUGUUUUACCCAGUUUUGCUUGCUCAUGGUGGCAAUCGGUCGGACUUUCCGAUGUUGGUGGACAACAUCUCUCGCCACAAAGCCUCAUCUGGCUAUUUGUACCCGAGACUUCGUGUGGGGGACACAUACCAACUUUGUGUAAAGCUUCAAGAAAACGGUUUGCCAAUAUUUGACAAACAAACGAAAUUAGGAAUGGAAGGUUUGCACAAAUUAUUCUUCCCUGGUGAAGACUUUAAAGGUACGUGUUUUCUUAUAGGAUCGCGAUC